UGCCUAACACAUGCAAGUCGAACGGCAGCACGGCUGUGUACUUGUACAUGUUGGGUGGCGAGUGGCGGACGGGUGAGUAACGCGUAGGAAUAUACCUUAAAGAGGGGGACAACUUGGGGAAACUCAAGCUAAUACCGCAUGGACUCUGAGGAGGAAAGCUGGGGACCUUAGGGCCUGGCGCUUUAAGAAUAGCCUGCGUCCGAUUAGCUAGUUGGUGAGGUAAAGGCUCACCAAGGCGACGAUCGGUAGCUGGUCUGAGAGGACGACCAGCCACACUGGAACUGAGAGACGGUCCAGACUCCUACGGGAGGCAGCAGUGGGGAAUAUUGGACAAUGGGGGGAACCCUGAUCCAGCGUUGCCGCGUGUGUGAAGAAGGCCUGAGGGUUGUAAAGCAC
rnacentral:rRNA from 1 species